CGCAGUGAGGAAUAUUGGACAAUGGAGGCAAUUCUKAUCCAGCCAUGCCGCCGUGCAGGAWGACUGCCCUAUGGGUUGUAAACUGCUUUUAUACAGGAAGAAACUUACYCACGUGGUGUGURACUGACGGUACUGUAAGAAUAAGGAUYGGCUAAYUCCKUGCCAGCAGCCGCGGUAAUACGGAGGAUCCAASCGUUAUCCGGAAUCAUUGGGUUUAAAGGGUCCKUAGGUUGAUAAUUAAGUCAGAGGUGAAAUCYUGCAGCUCAACUGUAAAAUUGCCUUUGAUAMYGGUUAUCYUGAGUUAUUAUGAAGUAGUUAGAAUAUGUAGUGUAGCGGUGAAAUGCAUAGWUAUUACAUAGAAUACCAAUUGSGAAGGCAGAUUAYUAAUAAUCAACUGACAMUGAUGGACGAAAGGCGUGGGUAGSGAACAGGAUUAGAUACCCUGGUAGUCCACGCCGUAAACGAWGGUUACUAGCUGYUUGGACCUUGUGUCUGAGUGGCUAASCGAARGUGAUAAGUAACCCRCCUGGGGAGUACGUUCCCAUGAAUGAACUCAAGGGAAUGGACGG
rnacentral:rRNA from 1 species